UAACACAUGCAAGUCGAACGAUGAUGCCUAGCUUGCUGGGUGGAUUAGUGGCGAACGGGUGAGUAACACGUGAGUAACCUGCCCUUAACUCUGGGAUAAGCCUGGGAAACUGGGUCUAAUACCGGAUAGGAGCGCCCACCGCAUGGUGGGUGUUGGAAAGAUUUAUCGGUUUUGGAUGGACUCGCGGCCUAUCAGCUUGUUGGUGAGGUAAUGGCUCACCAAGGCGACGACGGGUAGCCGGCCUGAGAGGGUGACCGGCCACACUGGGACUGAGACACGGCCCAGACUCCUACGGGAGGCAGCAGUGGGGAAUAUUGCACAAUGGGCGCAAGCCUGAUGCAGCGACGCCGCGUGAGGGAUGACGGCCUUCGGGUUGUAAACCUCUUUCAGUAGGGAAGAAGCGAAAGUGACGGUACCUGCAGAAGAAGCACCGGCUAACUACGUGCCAGCAGCCGCGGUAAUACGUAGGGUGCGAGCGUUAUCCGGAAUUAUUGGGCGUAAAGAGCUCGUAGGCGGUUUGUCGCGUCUGUCGU
rnacentral:rRNA from 1 species